CAUACCUUUUUUUUAAGGGAUAGGGUCGGUUCGGCCGGAUUUUACACAAGUGUUGCAUGGCUGUCGUCAGCUCGUGUCGUGAGAUGUUGGGUUAAGUCCCGCAACGAGCGCAACCCUCAUCCUUAGUUGCUAUCAGGUAAUGCUGAGUACUUUAAGGAAACUGCCAGUGAUAAGCUGGAGGAAGGUGGGGAUGAUGUCAAGUCAUCAUGGCCUUUAUGGAGUGGGCUACACACGUGCUACAAUGGUGUCUACAAUGGGCUGCAAGGUGCGCAAGCCUAAGCUAAUCCCUAAAAGACAUCUCAGUUCGGAUUGUACUCUGCAACUCGAGUACAUGAAGUUGGAAUCGCUAGUAAUCGUGGAUCAGCAUGCCACGGUGAAUACGUUCUCGGGUCUUGUACACACUGCCCGUCACGCCAUGGGAAUUGGUUCCCUCCCAAAGCU
rnacentral:rRNA from 1 species